rnacentral:rRNA from 1 species
AGUGAACGCUGGCGGUAGGCCUAACACAUGCAAGUCGAACGGCAGCACAGUAAGAGCUUGCUCUUACGGGUGGCGAGUGGCGGACGGGUGAGGAAUACAUCGGAAUCUACUUUUUCGUGGGGGAUAACGUAGGGAAACUUACGCUAAUACCGCAUACGACCUACGGGUGAAAGCAGGGGAUCUUCGGACCUUGCGCGAUUGAAUUAGCCGAUGUCGGAUUAGCUAGUUGGCGGGGUAAAGGCCCACCAAGGCGACGAUCCGUAGCUGGUCUGAGAGGAUGAUCAGCCACACUGGAACUGAGACACGGUACAGACUCCUACGGGAGGCAGCAGUGGGGAAUAUUGGACAAUGGGCGCAAGCAUGAUCCAGCCAUACCGCGUGGGUGAAGAAGGACUUCGGGUUGUAAAGCCCUUUUGUUGGGAAAGAAAAGCAGCAGGUUAAUACCCCGCUGUUCUGACGGUACCCAAAGAAUAAGCACCGGCUAACUUCGUG